ensembl:lncRNA
GGGGUCUACGAAUCAAAACAAACACACUGUGUUGGAAGACGAUUACAAGAUGCUUAAAAGCAGCUCAAAAGAGAAUGGACUGUAUAGAGACCGAUUUCGUUCAGAGGGGAAGCAGCGGUACUUGCAGAAAAUAGCGUGCAUUGGAAAUGUGGAGCCGUAUGAAAUACGGCCGUGGAGUAGAAACCCUGAAGACCAACUGCUAUUGACGUAGCCUGACAUAUUUUCGUACCUUAUCUGUGGAAUCAGCGCGUACAAGUCGUCAUUCAAACAAAGGUCCUGCACUCAAAGACUGAAUGAACCAGCAUUGCAGCCACGGGUCACUGUGAGCAUCACAGGGAAGGUUGAAGCCGCCCACUGCACCUGUAAGGACUGUUACAGAUGAACCUGCAUACUGGGUUUUGCUGGGUAAUGUGACCAAGAUACAGUCAGUGGUUGGCCAUAACAUAGACUUCUCCUCUUCAGCUGCCCAAAAAAGGCUCUUGAUCAAAACAUAAACAGACCAUCCGUAUUGAAAGGUAAAAGGAGCCGUGCUCCAAAAAGAAAAAUCCCAGCUGCUUUUAUAGUUUACAAAUGACAAAAUGUUUCCAUAAAAUCAUG